AUGAUUCAUAAUGGAAGUGAGUGGAUAAUAUGUCUCAUACUGAUGUUAAAUGUCAUGGGAUUCGUGGAAAAAAACAUACUACUGUCCGACAUGAAGAAAAGUUGGCUCUGCAUAUUCACGGAUUCUGCAUCCACGCAUUCUAUCAUCCACAGCCUGAAAACAUUCACCAAAAGGAAGGAAGGAAGGAUGGAAGGAAGGAAUGAAAGAAAGAAAGAAGGAAGGGAGAAACUCCAAAAAGCCAACCUUUAUUUUACCAUUUUAUAUGAGAGACACUAAUUUAGUAUGCAAUUGAAUAUAAUGGACCUGAGCAUCCAUGGAUUUCUGUAUUUAUGGAGAGUUCUGGAACCUGGAACCAAACCCCAGAAGAUACCAAGAGACCACUGUAUUGUUGAUUUUGACUAAAAAUCUUUUGCUGAAACUUAUUUGAUUGCUCUUUUUUGUGCUGUGAGAACCUAUCCUUAAUCUUUCCAUGUUAUUUCUGGCUCUGGUAUUAAAUGUUCUGCUAAAGAAGCAAUGCCCAGG
rnacentral:lncRNA from 11 species